rnacentral:rRNA from 1 species
UACGUAGGGGGCGAGCGUUGUCCGGAUUCAUUGGGCGUAAAGCGCUUUAAGGCGGUUCGCUAAGUCGGGUGUGAAACCUCCAGGCUCAACCUGGAGACGCCACUCGAUACUGGCGUGACUAGAGUCCGGUAGGGGACCACGGAAUUCCUGGUGUAGCGGUGAAAUGCGCAGAUAUCAGGAAGAACACCCGUGGCUAAGGCGGCUCUCUAGUACGGUACUGACGCUGAGACGCGAAAGCGUGGGGAGCGAACAGG